CCAAGGAGUCUAACAUGUGCGCGAGUCACUCGGUCUUGUUUAGGCCAGAGAGGCGCAAUGAAAGUAAAGUUGAUUGAGUUACGAUCCCUAUGCGGUCACUCCUAGUGGGUGACGGUGGGGCGCAGUAACAGCCCGCUAAUUUCGCUUAUUGACGAUCUGGCGGAGUUGUAGCGUACACGUUGGUACCCGAAAGAUGGUGAACUAUGCCUGGGCAAGACGAAGUCAGAGGAAACUCUGAUGGAGGUCUGUAGCGAUUCUGACGUGCAAAUCGAUCGUCAGACCUGGGUAUAGGGGCGAAAGACUAAUCGAACCAUC
rnacentral:rRNA from 1 species